GAUGAACGCUGGCGGCGUGCCUAAUACAUGCAAGUCGAGCGAACAGACGAGGAGCUUGCUCCUCUGACGUUAGCGGCGGACGGGUGAGUAACACGUGGAUAACCUACCUAUAAGACUGGGAUAACUUCGGGAAACCGGAGCUAAUACCGGAUAACAUGUUGAACCGCAUGGUUCAACAGUGAAAGACGGUCUUGCUGUCACUUAUAGAUGGAUCCGCGCCGCAUUAGCUAGUUGGUAAGGUAACGGCUUACCAAGGCAACGAUGCGUAGCCGACCUGAGAGGGUGAUCGGCCACACUGGAACUGAGACACGGUCCAGACUCCUACGGGAGGCAGCAGUAGGGAAUCUUCCGCAAUGGGCGAAAGCCUGACGGAGCAACGCCGCGUGAGCGAAGAAGGUCUUCGGAUCGUAAAACUCUGUUAUUAGGGAAGAACAAAUGUGUAAGUAACUAUGCACGUCUUGACGGUACCUAAUCAGAAAGCCACGGCUAACUACGUG
rnacentral:rRNA from 1 species